rfam:Hordeum vulgare subsp. vulgare, WGS project CAJW01000000 data, contig: morex_contig_160957
UUACUACUUCCUUCGUCCGGAAAUACUUGUCCUAGAUGGAUGUAUCUAGAUUUAUUUUAGUUAUAGAUACAACCAUUUUAUUCCAUUUCUAAGACAAGUAUUUCCGGACGGAGGGAGUACAAC